GGAAAUGUGUGUUUACUUUUCAC
rnacentral:piRNA from 1 species